rnacentral:rRNA from 1 species
CAAUAGCGUAUAUUUAAGUUGCUGCAGUUAAAAAGCUCGUAGUUGGAUUUCGGGUGGGAAUGGCCGGUCCGCCGUUUCGGUGUGCACUUGCUACGCCCACCUUGCUGCCGGGGACGUGCUCUUGAGUUCACGCUCGGGACACGGAGUCGGCGAGGUUACUUUGAGUAAAUUAGAGUGUUCAAAGCAGGCCUACGCUCUGAAUACAUUAGCAUGGAAUAACACGAUAGGACUCUGGCCUAUCUUGUUGGUCUGUAGGACCGGAGUAAUGAUUAAGAGGGACAGUCGGGGCAUUCGUAUUUCAUUGUCAGAGGUGAGAUUCUUGGAUUUAUGAAAGACGAACUACUGCGAAAGCAUUUGCCAAGGAUGUUUUCAUUGA